rnacentral:rRNA from 1 species
GAUCCUGGCUCAGGAUGAACGCUAGCUACAGGCUUAACACAUGCAAGUCGAGGGGCAUCAGUUUGGUUUGCUUGCAAACCAAAGCUGGCGACCGGUGCACGGGUGAGUAACACGUAUCCAACCUGCCUCAUACUCGGGGGUAGCCUUUCGAAAGAAAGAUUAAUAUCCGAUAGCAUAUAUUUCCCGCAUGGGUUUUAUAUUAAAGAAAUUCGGUAUGAGAUGGGGAUGCGUUCCAUUAGUUUGUUGGG